AAUACUCAGAUUUCAUUUACAUAAGUAAUCAUUUAAUUCAGUAAAAUAAUCGGGAUCAUGUUAAUUAAUAAUGAAAAUAAAUUAAUGGACCUAAUGUUUAUUCUAAUUUAUUAAUUUUAAUUAUUUAUUAAAUUAUGUGAUAAUAUAUUAUGUAAAUAAAUAAUACAAACGGGAAAAUAACAUCACAAACACUUCUGUGGCCAGGCGACUACUAAACCUUCCAUAGACACUCCCUGCAAGCGACAGUGGAAGCUGACAAGCAAACUGACAUCGUUAUAGAUACGGCACACUUGAAAAAAUUUAUAAACACAGAUUCUAUCACCAGUAUUCACAAUAAAUAUAUGUUUUAAUGAUAUCAACUGUAGAACGUGGUAUAUUUAUUUAUUGAAAUUGGGCGCCUAAUUUUAUAUAUAUAUAUAUGUUUCUCCAGAAAUAAACAAAUGAUUAUGAUUCCUCUUAUUAAUAUUGUUUUAUCCAAGUUAUUACACUCAUUUGUUCCUGGCUAAUUUGUUUCCGCUUACAAGACAUGUAAGUGUCUAAAAUGUGUAAUAAGGAAGUGUAGAGUGAAUCAUAAACUAGAUAUUCAUUUAUGAAUUCGAUUUGUAAAAUGUAUAUUUUAAAAGUAAUCCCAAAGGUUAGGAAUUUGACGUAACUUAUUAUUUUUUUUAUUAUCUUGACUUAAAAUAACAAGCGAACAUAAAUGACACCUAUUUAGGUGAUCAAAUAGUCUCAAUAACAUAUAUACUAUAUCAGUGAUAGUUAUCUGUAUGCGGACAUAUAUUCCUAGAGAGCCAAAAAUCUAAGUAAAGGUAUUUCAUACUAGUAAUGUCUCUAUUCACGUAACCUUACGUCUAGUUCAGUUGUUCGGAGACACUUCAAUUUCUGCAGCACUGGACAUCUGGAUUGCGGUAACCAGAGACAAGGACGUUUUCGACCAGCUGAAAACUACGAAUACUACUGUUCUAGUUGUAAAAUUAGAUGACGGCAGUCCAGCAUCCUUCUCUGAUCCUGAAAAGUCUUUAUAAUUAAUUUGAAACGAUCUCACCGACGUAGACCACAUGGAACCUUAGAUGUAUGGUCGUCAUGGUUGUGUCGGGAACUCAGGCCUCAGGAUUCUUGCGACAGCGACUGACGGCUCCGACCAUCGUCCUUCACGGAUGGAAAGUACGAAGAUUCGAACCCAGGAUGGUCAGGAAUGUAUAUAUCGACUGAAGAGUAAGUUCAUUCUUGAAGUUCGGAAAAUCCAUAAUUCUGUCAAAUUAAUGCAGAAUUUCAUGAACCCAACUUGACGUCUACCAAAAUAACGGAACUCAGCUGUAGUCUCUUCUUGUGAGCUGAACGGAAAUGUAAAGAGAAGUACGACCCUCACUCAGUACGUAUCUUCCUCUCCAGAUAAUUUUUCCUUAUUUUAUUUGCUUUUUACACAUCCAUAUUCAAAAAACCACUAUCGAACGAAUACCUGUUUAUAGCAACCAUAGAUGAAUUAACCAAAGCUGGAAUUGAAAAUCCACAGACUUAUGCAAGUAGAAAUAACGAGAAUUUAAACCAACGACGUAUAUAUAUCAUAGACCCAGCAUGCCUUCUGAAAGUUGAGGCCAACAUGUCCUCCCGCCGCGAACAGCUGAUUGUGGGCCGUUUUCUGUUGUUUUGCUAUUAGAAUACAUUGAAGCUAUGUGCAGCUGCCUGUGAAUUUGGUUCAGAAAUGUGUUGCCUACGGUUGUAAUGAAAAAUCUGUCAAAGGAGCAUCGGUGUCGUUUCACAGGUAAGUGUAUUUAUCAAAUUUAUGGUGUAUUUUGGGAUUUUAUGUCAAAAUUGUUCUGAAAUAUUUAUACUACUUUUACGUUUUGGUUGCAUGAUAGUUUGACUUAAAAAUUAAUUUAUAUUUACGUUAAAUGUGGGGUAUAUGUAUGGUAUAACUAUUGGUUACAUGUUUUUAUCGGAAUUGUGUGUUAUAUUUGUGUGUUUAGUUUUCCUGGAGAUGAAUUGACGAAGAAGUGAACUCUAUCUGAGGCGGGAAAGUUUUGUGCCAUCCAAGCAUUUCAGAAUUUGUUCUAAACACUUCUCCCAAGAUUGUUUUGACAAGGAAGUUUGUUCCAACUGUUUUUGACUUACCGGCACACUUACAGCCUAAAAAUGCCAAGAGGAAAGCACCUACCGAGAGAAGCCAAAUUGUGUCUCAGCCGCAUGAAAACGCCACCACCUCGCAGCAAUCCACUACCAAGGAUAUUCAUACAGUUGGAAAAAAGUUAAGAUUGGCAUAUCUAGGUGACUUCAAUGAGAAGAACCUGACUUCCCAGCAGAAGUAAGAAGUGCCUUGGUGCUGCAAAGGAAAUAAGAUUAAAAUACCAUAAGAAACUGAAACUCCUUCAUCAGCGGUGUAAACGAGCCACUGCAAAAAUAGUGAGCCUUCAGGCAGUUAUCUCGCAUCUGCAGGACAAGAAACUGAUGGGUGAUGUUGCUGCAGAUACACUACAGAAAUAUUUGCCACCUGCUGUUGCGGAUCUCAUCCAGCGAUGGAAGAAGGGGCCAACCAGAGAAGCCUAUCCUCCAGAGCUGAGGACGUUUGCUCUGACACUGAAUUUCUACUCGGUAAAUAUGUAGUUAAGCGGUAUUUGCGAAAAAAAAUUGUUAAAAAUCUGAAAAUACUUUUAUUGUAUGCUCUUCAACUUCCUCUUUUCAUUAAAAGCGGCGGAGAUAAGAAAUUCCAAAUACUUUAGGAGAUAUUGCAGUUCUUAUUUUGCUAUGCAAGACCUGUGUAAUCAUUCGACCAUCGCAAUUUUUUUAUUGCCAUGUGUUUGUGAAUGCCUAAUUAAUGAAAAUGGUUGAUUAGGUCAGGUCAGUUACAUUAUAAAUACUUUGAAACUAAGCGUACAUAAAAAAUAAUAUGAAUUAAUUUCAAUGGUUUUUUAGUUUUAAAGUAUUUAUAAUGUAACUUACCUGACCUAACAAACCGGGACAAAGGAUGAACAGUAACAACUCACGUAAAAUUAUUUUGUUACUUAUUACUUGCGCAACAAUAUCCAAAUAACAAAUAAAACUUUAAAAUUAGAAACGUUAAAAGCUCACCUAAGUUGGAGGCGGUAAUUAAACACUGUUUUAAACAAUAAAUGAACUAAAAAAUAACAUAUUGGUUCAUUUGAAUUCUGGCCUAUCACGAACAAUCACGUGACAUCAUUAUCCAAUAAAAAAAUAGAUACUCGUAAACAAAAAACAAUGUUGAAUGCCACAUGAAUGCACUGGUAUUGUGAUGAAAUUUAAAAAUUCGAUAUCUCCUAAAGUAUUUGGAAUUUCUUAUCUCCCCUGCUUUUAAUGAAAAUAGGAAGUUGAAGAGCAUAUAAUAAAGGUAUUUUCGGAUUUUUAACAAUUUUUUUUCGCAAAUACCGCUGAACUACAUAUGAUGAAAUUAAAAAAUAUAUCUCCUAAAGUAUUUGGAAUUUCUUACCUCAACCACUUUUAAUGAAAAGAGGAAGUUAAAGAGCAUAUAAUGAAGGUAUUUUCGGAUUUUUUACAUUUUUUUUCUCGAAUACCGCUCAACUACAUAUUUACCUUCUACUCUCCUAAGGCGUACAAUUAUGUUAGAAAAAUGUUCAUGAAGUGUUUGCCACAUCCUGUUACACUGCAGAAGUGGUAUUCAACUGUUGAUGGAUAGCCAAGCUUCAGUACUGAGGCUUGUACAGCAUUGAAACUGAAGACAGCAGAAAAUGUUACUUGUGGUAAACCUACAUUAUGUUCUUUGAUGUUAGAUGAAAUGGCCAUACGUAAACAUAUAGAAUUUGAUGGUCAGAGUUUCAUUGGAUAUACUGACUUCGGUACAGGGUUGGAUGAUGAUUCCCUACCUGAAGCAAGGGAAGCAUUGGUGUUCAUGGCUGUUGCUCUAAAUGGUAGCUGGAAGAUCCCAGUAGGGUAUUUCUUGAUUGCUGGUCUGCUUGUAUAAUAGUCUACCUCAGCAUGUUAAAAAUAUCAAUAGUAAAAAAUAAUUUGCAAUAGAGUUAAAAAAAAAUAGCAGAAGAACUGUUUUUCUAUUCCUUCAAAGAUAUUGAAGACUAUAAAAAUAAAAAAUAAUAGUAAAUAUUUUAUAGGGUAAUUUCAAACCCA